UCUUCGCAUUGCUUGUCAUAUAAUAUGCCCUUAAUGAAUUAUUAUGGAAUUAAUGAAUAAAUUAAUUAAUGCUCAGGAGCUCAUCUGUGAAGCUGUGAGCUUCCUCCUCCUUGCCAGAUUAUUGAUUCUGUCCUAAGUCUGUUCCCUGUUGGCGUCCCACACGGGCGUGAUGAGCAUUAACCAGAUGGCUAGCCACAGAGAUGUCCACCCUUGGACUCAAAGCCUGCUUCCCAAGCCAGGGUGCUGGAGACGACUGGAGACCAUCCCAGGCCCUUGGCUAUCCGGUGGCCCCAGUGGAGGCAGCAGCAGCAAAUCCAAGAACGAAGUGAAACUCUGGAUUUAGCCUUCAGGAUCUGACCUGGGAGCAGAAGUCUUUGGCUUUCCCGAUGCAACCCAUUUUACAGCCUUUGCUGAGUCACUUCCCAUCAGCGUUACUCAAACAAAGAUGCGCGUUAGGUGCUGUGGCUGCUGUGGCUGAUGCGUUUUCCAAAUGUGUGCUGUAGCCAAAUGUCUGAGCCCCAUCCAAUCCACAGUUUAUGUUUCAAUACAAACAAAGUCACACAACCUCUCAGAGAUUCGCCCACGGUUCUUGUCAAUCAUUCCUUGCCCUCUCUGCCAGUCUGUGACCUACCGUCUUUCAGAUUCCAUCCACUCUCCACCUUCAAGACAUGAUGUGGCUUGUUUCCAGAAACUGAGAUGGUUGCAGAAUAAGCCGAGCCAGCCUCUGUCACCAAAAGGGUUAAUAUCCUCCCCCCCAGGGAUUGACCACAGCUGAGCUGCCACCCAGGUGCAGAUAGUGACAAGUUUAUACAACCAAAUGGUGCAACAGUGGGCACCCUGAGUCUUGAAGAGGCAUUUUCUCCAAUGUUCUGGUCUUAAUGUACAAUGGCAAGAAAUCAUUUAACUUUGAUUAUUGGUGUCGUUCUACCAGGAACACAGACUCCUUGCAAGAGUGACCUCUAUCUUGGCUUAUGCUGUUGGUCCCAAGUGUCACCCGGUUCCGUGAAAGAAGAAAGGAUGAAGGUGCAGAAAGCCAAUCUUUAAUGGAUCUGGAUGCGUUGUACGCACCCCCACGCUAACCCUCCCAGCAACUGUCAUCCCUACUGGACAGACGAGGUGAGAGGACCCAGAGAGGCUAAGCAGGCUGUCCGAGAUGGCAGACCCAGAGCUAACAGCUAGGAUGGACACAAAUCCCACCACCUUUCCACAAGUUUCCUUCAAUGAGGGGACUGCUUCCGGAAAUGCCAACACCAACGUGUGUGGAGAUGUGGCCCUGGCUUCAGCCUUCUUCCCCCUGUCAUCAGACACUGAAUCUUUCUUCUGGGUCAGUGUUCAAGUGAAUUCGUCAGACAAAUAAAUCCAUGCAGGAUUCACCAUCCUGAACCAGGAGAAGCAGCUAAAAACCCUGGAUUCCAGCCCCGGUGCCAUCUAGACAGAGAUCGAGUCAGAAUGGACCCUAGUGGAAAUUGAGCCUUUCAAAGUAACGUCAACAUGAUGCUGGCACCCGGCCUUGGGUCUCUUUACAAAGGAAAGGGGAGGAGCAAAUUCAGGUAAACACCAGGAGAGAGGUAAUCCCCGUCCUCUGUGGCUCCUAGCACUGACCUCCACCAAGGCCAGCCUAUAAGGGUUGGUGUCAAUGAUGUAAAGCUUGAAACUUGAUCCCUUCCCAGGGAACAGAAUGGGGGUGCGGUUCUUGAGAAACCAGACUGAAGAGAAAUUAGCCUUCACCAGCUGCUCCUGUAAUUGCAUUUAAAUUCAGUUAAACUAAUUUCUUACACUUGAUAAAAGCAGUUGUCUUUCCAAAUCAUCCUCAGACUCCUCCAUUCCAAACACAAUAUAAAUAUACCACGGCCUGGUUAGAGAGGUCCUUCCUUCUGGGCCUCUUUGUCACCUUACCUCUGUUCUUGGCCCUUCGCUGGGGCACAGUUUUUUGUAAAGAGCUCAGAAAGCUGAACUGCCCUAUUAGCAUAAGAGUCUGUGACUCAUUGACUCACAGAUUGUAAAUCACACUCACAUGGGAUUUUAAUUAAUUAUAUUAAUUUUAGGGGAAACAACAAAACUGAAAAGUCUACAGUGCUUCAUUUACUGAGAAACUCUGAAAUGUCUUUUAUUUUUAGCAAGAGCCAUAAAAACAUCUCAUACUGAAAUAAUGCAAAAAUCAAGGAAGGGUUGUAUUACUCAGCGUGAUCGCGCCCUUUAAAAGGCUUUGACAUUUUCUUUAUUUUUGUAAGGUUUUUUAGAAAGAAAAAAAUAUAUAUUAUAUUACAUACACAUCUACACAUGCAUACGCUACCCAGAUCCUCUCUGCAAGAAUAUUCACAACUGACUGCAAUUUGGUGUAAGGUGGUUCUAUCUCAAAGGGGGAUUAAUUACUAAAUUAUCAUAAAAGCAUGCAAUUAGUUAUCUUCAUUUAAGAGACUGCCCCAUGGUAAGAGACUCUCAAAUACUUGUAUGCACAUACACACUUCAUUCGUUGUUUAUUAUUCAUUUGCAUUUAUUCAUUUAGUCAAGCUAAUAUAUAUCAGGGCCUACUAUGUGCCUGACACGUUGCAGGGGCUGACAGUACAAGGUGAACUUAAUAAGACCAGUCUGGAGGUGGAGGUGCAUAGGGUUCCACAUGGUUAAGCAGCAUCAUAGAAUCAAGGGUACAGGGCUGUGGGAACAAGCAGGGAGCAUCUGAGGGCAUCAGAGAGAAAGGGAAAGGACAGAGGGGCAGUGACAUAAAGGAAAGCCAAGAGUGAAGAUCUACAGGUUUUAGUUCAGGAAGUGACUCUUACCCGCCAUGUGUGUGUCAGACACUAGCCAGGUGCUGGGGAAGCCAGCAGUGAGCAAGCUAGACACAGCCACCCCUGUUUUGGAAUUUACAAUCUAAUUAGGAGACGUUAGUCGAAUAAUAACACAGGAAUAAAAUUGCUAUUUUGGUAAGAACCUUUAAGGAAAAAGUACAGGGGCUUUAAGAGUAUACACCAUGUAGCUAAGCUACAUGGUGAAAAUGAGGGUUGGCUUGCUUGAGAAAGUGACAAUAGAGCAGAGACCUGACAAAUUAACAGGCAUGGCCAGAGGAGGGACGGUGGGAAGAGUGUUCCAAGUAGAAGGAACAGAUAGGCAAAGCACUAUUAGAGAAAGCUUGGAAUUUUCUAGAAACCAGGAAGAAGUCAGAGUGAGUGGAACACAACAAGGGAUGAUGAGGUGGGAGGUGGGGAGGUUAGACCCUUCUAAGACCAAGGUCGGACAGGUGGGCAGGGACAAGAAUAUACAAAAUUUGGGCUUUAUGCUAAAAGUAGUAGAAGUACAGUAACACACUAAAAAAAACCCCACCCACAAUUUCUUUAGGGAAGAGAGUUAUGAAUUUAAGUGCCUUACAUUGUACCAGAAGCUCAAGAAAAUCAGUUAUUGUCCCUCUUUCUGUACCCAGCUCAGGUCCUUGACUAGGCUAAUGCAUGUAUUCUGCACCUACACGUUGGUCUCCAGUAGUAUAUUUUGUACUGUUGGUUCUGAUUUUGAUUUUUAACCCAGUUUGUCAACUUGUCUCCUGCCUCCAUGAUUAUUUAUGGUUUCUGCUAUGAUUAGCCAUCUGGAUGAUGGAAUAGCUCAUUCAUUCCAUGAUUCAUUCAACAAAUGCUUAUUGAAUAUCCCUGUUGUACAAUGAUUUAUCCCUCAUUGAACUUACAGUUUCACAAAGGUGUAAGAUACAUGCAUAAAAAUUAUAAUAUUGAAUGUUAUACUGGAGGCCCUAGACAGUGCAAAGGAAGGGCAAGAAAAACAACAACAGUAUGUUCAUAGGACAUCUAAAAUAACCUACAGAUAAAUUAUUAGAAUUAAUGAGGGAUUUUUCCGAGGUAGCUGGAUACAAUAGCAAUAUACAAAACUCAAUUGUAUUCCUAUAAAUCAGUAAAUAAUUAUGUAAAACAUAUGAAGCAAUUAAUAUAAGUAUGUUUUUAACAUAUGGAAGAUAUGCACAGACAAAAUUUUAACACUGUAUUGAGAGAUAUUAAAGAAAACCUGAACAAAUUGAAAAAUAUACCAUAUUCAUGGAUGAGAAGACCCAAUUUUGGAAGGAUACUAAUUUUCCCCAAGCUGAUUCAUGGAUUCCAUGUAAUCUUAAUCCUAGCCAAAAUUCUAGCAAGGUGUUGGUAAAAUUUGAGAAGUUGAUUCUAAAAGUUAGAUGUAAACACAAAGAAUCUCUGACUCUUCUGAAGAAAACAAUGAAGUAGAAAGACUUGCUCUACCAGACACCAGAUUUGUUUUAAAUUGUAGUAAAGGCAGCAUAGUCUUGGCACAGAAUGGACAGAUGGACUAAUGGAACAGAAUAGAGAGAACAGAAAAAUGAUAAACACAUGUGUGGACAUUUGACAUAUGAAAAAGACGCAUGGCAGAUGAAUGAGGAGAGGAAGACAUUUUCAAUGAUGAAUUCCAGGUAGACUACAGAUCUAAGUGUAAAAGGUGAAACUAUAAGCUUUUAGAUGACAAUAUAGAAUACUUUCACAUAAAAAUAUAUGCAAUGUCUUCUUAAACAAGAUCAGAAAGGAAAGAUACAUGAGUUUGGCUACAUUAAAAUUAAGAACUUGUAUUCACCAAAGGAUUCUACACAAAUAAUGAAAGGUCAGACUGUAAAUUGGAAGAAGAUGUAAAUAUGUUAUGUUACAGAAUAUGUAAUAUAUGUGUCAAUAAAUUGAAAAUCUAUUUUAAAAACCUACUCCAUAUCAAUAAGAAAAACUCAAUUCAAUAGAAAAAUGGACAAAACCCAAUAAAUUACCAAAGAUGAAAUCCAAAUGGCCAAUACAUAAGUGUAAAAGCAUUUUAUGGGUAAUGAGGGAAAUGCAAAUUAAAACCACAAAGAGAUAACUCUACAUACCCACGAGACUGGCAAGUAUUCAAAAGUUUGGCAAUACCAAGAUUGGAUAAGGUGUGUAAUAGUGAGAAGUCCAAACACUGUGGAGUGGAAGGGAGGUGUAAGUUGGUACAACUACUUUGGAAAAGAAUUGUCGUUAUCCACUCCAUUUGAAGAUACGCAAAGAUAAGCUUAUAACUCUGUGCUUCCGUAUCACAUAUGUCCUAGAGAAACUCAUGUAUGUGUACACUUGGAUAAAUGUACCAGAAUGUUUAAGGCAGAAUUCCUGAUGAUAACUAAAAACUGGAAAUAAGCCAAAUGUUCUCUUACAAAGAAUGGAUAAAUAAGUAGGAUAUUCAUAAAAUGAGGACUGUAUAUCAAUAAAGAUAGAUGUAGCUAUUUGAAGCACAAAUGACUCUCAAACAGUGUUGAACAAAAGGUAAAAGGCAAAAGGAUACGAUGUGGAAUGAUUUCCAUUUGUGUAAAAUUUCCAGUCAUAAGGACAGGUAAAAUCAAACCAUAUUGUUUAUGGAGACAUGCCAAAGUGGUAAAACUAUCAAGUAAAGCCCAAAAAGAAUGAUCACAGAAGUCAGAACAAAAGUGGCUUCCAGGGUAGAGGGACAGGGAUAUGACUGGAGAAGAUACCUGGAAGGCUUCCAGAUGGCUGGCCACAUUCUAAUUCUCGACCCAGGUGGUGGUUACAGUAGGUUCAUGUUACUAUUAUUUGUAAAACUGUACACAGGUCUUUAAGAUAUUUUUCUGAAUGAAUAUUAUAUAUCCAAACCAAAAUUAUUUUGUAAAUUGCAUGUAUGAUUACAGUUUUCCUGUGGAUUUCCAGUCUUCUGGAAUCACUCUUCUCUUUAAUAUCCAAGUAAGAAUAAUGCAUCUCCAUCAUGUGUGACUGUGAUUUAGUGUGGCUGUGACUAGUCCCUAUCUUCAUGAAAUGCUUGUUAGUUUCCUGAUUAUUUUAAAUGGCUUCUCACUCUAAACUGCUGUCCCAGGCUGCACCUGGCCCACCUAACCAUUGUCCUCUCUUGCGAUGAUGGUGUUGUAAUCAAGUGACCUCAGAACAGGGUACUGGUGUUCUCCCCUAACCCUAUUC